rnacentral:rRNA from 1 species
UGCGUAGGCGGUUUGUUAAGUCUGUUGUGAAAUCCCCGGGCUCAACCUGGGAAUGGCAAUGGAUACUGACAAGCUAGAGUGUGUCAGAGGAUGGUGGAAUUUCCGGUGUAGCGGUGAAAUGCGUAGAGAUCGGAAGGAAUAUCAGUGGCGAAGGCGGCCAUCUGGGACAACACUGACGCUGAAGCACGAAAGCUGGGGAGCAAACA